rnacentral:rRNA from 1 species
GAGUUAAGAUUCUGACGUGACUCUGACUGCUAUCGGAUUGGUACUAAGCCAUGUGAGUCGUUGCAGCAAUGCAAGGCAGACGGCUCAGUAACACGUAGUCAACCUAACCUAUGGACGGGGAUAACCUCGGGAAACUGAGAAUAAUACCCGAUAGAUCAUGAUACCUGGAACGGUUUAUGGUUCAAAUGAUUUAUCGCCAUAGGAUGGGACUGCGGUCUAUCAGCUUGUUGGUGAGGUAAUGGCCCACCAAGGCUAUAACAGAUACGGGCUCUGAGAGGAGGGGCCCGGAGAUGGGUACUGAGACACGGACCCAGGUCCUAUGGGGCGCAGCAGGCGAGAAACCUUUGCAAUGUGCGAAAGCACUACAAGGUUAAUCCGAGUGAUUCCUGCUAAAGGAAUCUUUUGUUAGUCAUAAAACCACUGAUGAAUAAGGGGUGGGCAAGUUCUGGUGUCAGCCGCCGCGGUAAUACCAGCACCUCGAGUGGUCAGGAGGUUUAUUGGGCCUAAAGCAUCCGUAGCCGGCUGCUCAAGUUUCCGGUUAAAUCCACACGCUUAACGUAUGGGCUGCCGGAAAUACUGUUCAGCUAGGGAGUGGGAGAGGUAGACGGUACUCGAUAGGAAGGGGUAAAAUCCUUUGAUCUAUUGAUGACCACCUGUGGCGAAGGCGGUCUACCAGAACACGUUCGACGGUGAGGGAUGAAAGCUGGGGGAGCAAACCGGAUUAGAUACCCGGGUAGUCCCAGCUGUAAACGAUGCAGACUCGGUGAUGCAUUGGCUUAUGGCCAGUGCAGUGCCGCAGGGAAGCCGUUAAGUUUGCCGCCUGGGAAGUACGUACGCAAGUAUGAAACUUAAAGGAAUUGGCGGGGGAGCACCACAAGGGGUGAAGCCUGCGGUUCAAUUGGAGUCAACGCCGGAAGGG